rnacentral:lncRNA from 1 species
GACCAACCUGGUUAAAUGAAGGCUAUUUAAAGCAAAUAAUAAACCGAAAUAUCUCAGUUUUCUUUUUUCAAAUCCAUUCAGCUGCAGAGGAGAGGAAGUAGGGAAUUACUGUUGAGGAAAUGCAAUAGACUUACUUCCUAUGUUGUCAGCCGUCAUGAGAGGAAUAAUGAGAUCAUUCACAAGCUGUUGUGGCACUGACAUGGAGCGGUUGUUAUGGAUGUCUCUCCUGCUCGCCAACCAGCCCGUCACAGGUAACACGUCUUUAUGUAUUUUUCCUAUUGUUCAACAACUGCUCAGUGAUUUCUCUCACACAUUUCGGGUUUUAAAUCUGUUCAAUUUCUCCCUUCAAUCACUCCAGAGAGCAUGAAAGAAGCAAAGAGCUGCUUGUCACAGCCGAACAAGGUGAUCUGGAGGAAAACAGGACAAGGUGUUACUCUCCCUUGUACCGUAACUCCACCUUGUUCAGACAAAGACUUGCAGUUCGAGUGGUUUUUCUUCAAAGAAAAUGUCCAUCUUCGUCUUACAUCGCUGAACAAUCCUCUCAAGUACGUGCCCAACGGAGCAUUUUUACACAUCAGCUCGCUUCAUGUUAAUGAUAGUGGGAUUUACCACUGUGCUGCAGUGACACAUGGAGACUCAGCACUCGGCUCACAGCACGUAGGGUCAGGGACAACGCUUGUGGUGAGAGAAAAAAUUAAAAUAAUGGUGAGGGACAUUCUUCUGUGGCUGUCGUUUGUCCUGCUAUCCAUCUACAGCCUGGCAAUAGCAACACUUAUCAUAAAGAAGCAUGGCUGCAAAAAGAAACACAAAUCUGACAAGAAAAACUCAACAAAGACAAAACAAUUCCGUGACGUGCUGCAGGAAAUGUACAGCAGAAGGAACCUGGAGAGGAGCAAACAAAGUGUGAGCAGAAGUCGCUCUCCGGCUGAGGCUGCCAGCACUGACCUGGACAGCUCAAACGAUGACAUCUAUCAAAAUGUCUGA